rnacentral:ribozyme from 1 species
AGUCCAAGCUCGUUGGCUUGAAAGGCGUGGUGAAGAAGGCUGUUGGGCUGGGAGGCUGGCACUGGCUGGUGCUCAGUGAUGGGUCCCACGUGAGGCUUCAGAGGAAUGCUUUGAC